rnacentral:lncRNA from 1 species
AGGUACUGCUUCAACUUCUCAAAUACUUUCUGAUACUCAAUCGUCCAUUAGAAGUCCCUCAACUGCUUGAGGGUUUGAAAAAAAGGCAAACAUCUCUCAGCCGAUCUGGAGACGAAAUGAUUGAGUGAGGCGAUCCUUCCAGUGAGGCGUAGAAUUUUUUUUAUAUUUCUUGAUGGGGACAUCUCCAGGAUCAUCUUAAUCUUCUUCGGAUUUGCCUCAAUUCCUCAUCGAGAGACCAU